CAGCCUCUGAGGGGAGGGUAUCCCUUGGAUCUAGGCUGCUUCUUGAAAAGGAAUGUUGCAGUGUUGUAGAGACUCUUCACCAGUUGGGCUCUCUGAUGUGAUCUCUAACAUGGCCCUGCAACUCUUCUCCAAGAAAUGUGCGAGCUAAGUUGAUGUGUAAUAAGCUUGCACAGAGUGCUAAGGAGUUCCUGCCUGACAAAGUAAGGAAAGAGGAACUUUUAUCUUCAGAUCCAGCUAUGCUUUUUCCAAAAGGGUGAAAUUUGCUUGUGCCGGAUUCAUGGAGAUAGAGUUGAGACAGGAACCAUCUUAGUUCAUAAGGAUCAUGGAGUUGAAGAGAAAAGCUACUCUAGCAAGGCAUCUGGGGAACCUGCUUCAAUCAAAACCAUAUGUGAAAUUAUCACAAUGACACCAGUGUGUAUUUUUGGGAUGAGAGAAAAGAGAUCUAGCAACUAUGUGAAUGUUUGAUUCAGUCUUUUUCAAUGAAACACUUCUCAUGAAAAUAUAUAUUGCAGUAUCCAUCAGCAAGUAUUAUUACAAUAACUUUUAUUGAGUUGCCUUUUUGAAAGCAAGUGGUCUUCACUGGGAGCCAACUUUGAAACUGGAAAGCUGUUCUAAAUUGUGACAAAAUUAAAUUUCAACAUUUUACAAUCUUCAGGAAAAAUUUUUACUCUUUCCAUAGUUCCCAUAUUUUUUUUAGUAAGGUCUUUCUAUUGUACAACACUAAAUAAUACUGAUUUUUUUAAAAAGGAAAAGAAUUGAGCAAACAAAACAACAACCUCUGUACAAAAAACAAAAGGUCAUUUAUAGUUCUGUUGCAUGGGAGAAGUUGAGAGAGGCUGGAUUAUGUUUGACAUAAUUCAUAAAUUGUUCACUGCCCUAGUGGGAGGUGCUAUAUUGAUGUAGCUCAGUUGAUAAGGGUAGAGCAAGAAAAUUAGUAAAGAAAGUAGCAGAGAAAGGAGAGAAAAUUAGAAAUGAGCAGCAAAAUCUACCUUUUGAACACAAGGGGAUGCUAAUAGAAGUAUAAUGUACCUUGAAUUGUCGCCAAAGGGAUUUUACUAGUAGUACCAGGGAACCAUUACAGAAAACCUUUGCAGAUAAUCAGAUGAUCAAAUGUAAGGAGGUGUGAAUAGUCAUAGUAUGAGAUGUGCACACAGUAUAGUCUCCCAGAGGUAAUGCUGGGAAUAGUUUGCCAGAAUCUGUGUGUCUAGGUGUAAGAGCUCUGCAAUCCACCUUGCUCACCAGCUGGGGGAAUCAGAGUGGCUGCAGCAGUUGACUGGGGCCUUUCAUUUCUUCUGCCUGCUAAGGAUGGGCCUUGGCCACUAUCCUGCUGUGGUUUUGAGAUGGGCCGGGAGCACCUACACAAGGCCAUGUGUCCUGCCCUUCAUCAGGUCAAAGACCAUUUGUUGCACAGCAAGUAUGUUGAUGUUUUGCCAGCAGCAUAACUGCAGUGUACAUGUACCUGUGGUGUAUUUGGAUGAGCUUCAGAGGGCAGUUUUUUGUUGUAUGCAGAGAAGUACAGGGGUAGAGUACUGUCCCUUUGCUUUUUCAUUUUUGUAACCAUCUAAAGAGUUGGUCCCAACUGCACAGCAGCUUUCCUGAAAUUACCAGGGCAAAGACCUUCACAAAUAAGUCUCUUGUUAGCUGUUCUUGUUCAGUACAGAAAACCAGAAAUACUCAUACUUGGUCCUAAAUGUUCAAAAUCACAAGAAUAUUGGAAUAAAGGUGUAGAUUGUAGACCAUG